rnacentral:rRNA from 1 species
CCUGGUUGAUCCUGCCAGUAACAUAUGCUUGUCUCAAAGAUUAAGCCAUGCAGGUCUAAGUGCGCACGCGGAAGGUACAGUGAAUUGCGAAGGGCUCAUUAAAUCAGUUAUGGCUUUUUAUCUCUCCACACGUUACUCGGAUAACUGUGGUAAUUUCCAGAGCUAAUUACAUGCAAACGAGCGCUGACCGGUUCUUCCUCGGGGGGGCGGAUGCGUGCUCUCGGGGGGGCCGGGAUGCGUGCAUUUAUUAGACCAAAAACCACCCGGGUGGCCCGCGAGGGUUUCCCCCGGCCCUUUGGUUGACUCUAGAUCCUCGGGUCGAUCGCGCGCCCAACCGCGGCGGGCGACGUCUCAUUCGAAUGUCUGCCCUAUCAGCUGUCGAUGGUAGCAUAGGGGGCUACCAUGGUGACCACGGGUAACGGGUAAUCAGGGUUCGAUUCCGGAGAAGGAAGCCUGAGAAAUGGCCAACCACAUCCAAGGAAGGCAGCAGGAGCAAAUUACCCAUUACCGACACGCGGGGAGGUAGUGACGAAAAAUAACGAUUACAGGUCUCUUUCGAGGCCCUGUAAUCGGAAAUGAACGUAUCCUAAACACAUAUGGGUGAGGACCCAUUGGAGGGCAAGUCUGGUGCCAGUAGCCGCGGUAAUUCCCAGCUCCAAUAGCGUAUAUUAAAGUUGCCAGUUAAAAAGCUCGUAGCUGGGACUUCGGGAGUGGGCUGGCGGUCCGCCGCGAGGCGAGCUACCGCCUGUCCCAGACCCUGCCUCCCGGCGCCCCCCGGAUGCCCUUGGUUGGGUUGUCCGGUUCCUCAGGGGUUCCGGGAGCGUUUACUUUGAAAAAAUCAGAGUGUUCAAAGCGGGCACCCAACCUCGCCUGAAUCCUGCUAGGAAUAAUGGAAUAGGACUCCGGUUCUAUUUUGUGGGUUUCCUGAACCAGGGCCAUGAUUAAGAGGGACGGCCGGGGGCAUUCGUGUUUUGCGCCGCUAGAGGUGAAAUUCUUGGACCGGCGCAAGACGGACGAAAGCGAAAGCAUUUGCCCAAGAAUUUUUUUAUUAAUCAAGAUGAAAGUCGGAGGUUCGAAGACGGAUCAGAUACCGUCGUAGUUCCGACCGUAAACUAUGCCGACCUCGAUCCGGCGGCGUUAUUCCCAUGACCCGCCGGGCAGCGUGGGGGGAAACCAGAGUCUUGGGUUCCGGGGGGAGUAUGGUUGCAAAACUGAACUUAAAGGAAUUGACGGAAGGGCAACCACCAGAGUGGAGCCUGCGGCUUAAUUUUGACUCAACACGGGGAACCUCACCCGGCCCGACACCGGAAAGGAUUGACAGACUGAUGGCUCUUUCUCGAUUCUGUGGGUGGUGGUGCAUGGCUGCCCUUUCUUAGUUGGUUGGGUGAUUUGUCUGGUUAAUUACGAUACGAACGAGAUUCCUUCGUGCUAAAUAGUUACCGCGGCCCCCCCCGCGGUCGCGGUUACUUCUUAGAGGGACAGUGGCGUAUAGCCACGCGAAUGGAGCAAUAACAGGUCUGUGAUGCCCUCUUAGAUGUCCGGGGCUGCACGCGCGCACAAUGGCCGGGCCAGCGUGUGCCUACCCUACGCCGAGAGGCGCCGGGGUUAAUCCGCUUAAACCCCGUUCGUGACGGGGAUUGGGGAUUGCAAUUAUUCCCAUGAACGAGGAAUUCCCAGUUAAGUGCGGGUCAUCAGCUCGCGCUGAUUAAGUCCCUGCCCCUUUGUACACACCGCCCGUCGCUACUACCGAUUGGAUGGUUAUGUGAGGUCCUCGGAUCGGCCACGCCGGGGUCCUUCGCGGGGCCUUGGUGCUGUGCUGAAAAGUCGAUCGAACUUGAUCAUCUAGAGGAAGUAAAAGUCGUAACAAGGUUUCCGUAGGUGAACCUGCGGAAG